rnacentral:lncRNA from 1 species
AUGAAUCUAGCAAAGAGAAGGGGGGUUUUGUGGUUGUGGGUGUUAGGAGAGUCAUUUCUUUCCUCUGUUCUCCUUGUUUUCAUCCUGUUCAUUCCAAUCAAAAAUUGAGUGUGUGUUCAUGGUUGAUGGGGGCAUGUUAAACCCUUAUGAUGUGUUAUUGAUUGAUUUCGGUGGUUAGAAAUUGUUAUGUGGCUGUUUUUUUUUUUGUUUUUUUGUUUCCAUAAUUGUGUGUUAGGGUUCUUGGCUGCAGCUUUGGAGGUGGUGAAUUAUAUUUGCUCUCGGGAGAGUUGAGGGGCGAAUCAAUCAAAUUCAUUGUAUUAUAACAUAUUUUAACCCAAAAUAACUUUAUACAAGCCAUUCACUGCCUCAAAGCAAUGGUUUUGGGUUCUUAUCCCAUUUGUGACCAAAUAUCAACAAGUCUUUCUUCUCCCUUUUAAACAUUCUUCAUGCAUCUCUAGCACUUGUAAUCAAUCAAAUUCAUUGUACUAUAACAUAUUCUAACCCAAAAUAUCUUUAUACAAGCCAUUCACUGCC